AACGCCGGUGCCGCUCACACUUCGCAGCCUGCCUCUGGGUGGCGUCCAUCACCUUUAUUAUUUAAUUCCAUUUCUGAUAGUUUAAUCAAGCAUUUACAAGAAUAACCAGGAGGUUCUCCCUUUAAUUAUGCCUUCGCAGCCUCUCCCACGCGCGGCAACUCCCGUUCCCGCCGGGCGCUGCAGUAAGUAAGCCCCUCGGCCGCCGGGGCCCCAGUAACCGCCGCACCGGCCCGGGCGCAGGGGGCGCCUGUCAAGUGCCUGCACUAGGCUCGUCGGCCUGCGGCGGUCCCGCGGAUCCCACCUCCUGUUGCCCCCCGUCAGGGAAAGCCGGGGUGAAAGGAUAAAGGCCAGAGGCUCCUGGACGACGCUGACGUUCACAUGCCCCAGGUUUCCGUACUUGGAGAGCUGAGUGGGUGGAAUGCCUGGCCCAGAUGGUCUGUGCCAUCUGAGCUGGAGGAAAAAGGACUUGGAGACAGCGAUUUAAAUAAGGAACGAGGUCUUCCAGGAAGACAGUGCAGAACUGGACGAAGAGCUCUUGCUCCGCACUGCUGAAGGCAGCCUCUUCGGCACGAUGGAAGGCCAAGAUUACUUUUGUUACCUAAGAGACAAGGGCACCAUCAAUCACUGGUUUUAUUACUAGUGCAGUUUCCAGUUCCAGUGGAGGAGCAUCAUGAAAUUAUACACAGAAUACAUUGUUUUUGGCUCCCAUGGGAGAUGGACCAGAACUAUGGUGGAUCCAGGAAGAUGAAGCAACACUAUAAAAGGUUUCUACUGAGAGGACAUCAACAGAAAGAUUUUAUACAACCACGUCACAACUGCCACCUGGCUGACAGCGACUGUAAGAUGUCGUCAAUUAUAAGCAGCACCCAAUAUCUAAAGAUUUAAUGUGUAAAAAAUGUGCACCAUACUCAGAUAUUAGCAAUAUUGGUAGUAUUACUUGUAUUAGGCAGAAUUCUAAUAUGGCUCUUGUAAUCCCCGCCCCCUGGUAUCCACUCCUUUGUGUAAUCUCCUCCCCUUGAGUGCAGGCAGAAUCUCUGACUUGUUUCUAACCCACAGAAUAUGGCAAAGGUGAAGGAUUUGGCAGUUUUAAUUAACGUCCCUAACCGGCUGAUUGAAUUAAUGAAAAGGGAGGUUAUCCUGGGUGGGCCUACCCUAAUUAGAUGAGCCUCUUAAAAGAGGGUUGAGGACUCCCCUAAAGGAGACUUAGCAAGGAGAGAUGCUCUCCCAUUGGCCCUGAAGAAUCAAAAAGCCACACUGAACUGCCUAUGGAGUGGGCUGGUCUCUAGGAGUUGAGGGCCUCAGUCCUACAACUGUAAGGAACAGAAAUCUGCCACUGUGAGUGAGCUUGAAAGGAGGGGACCCUGAGCUCCAGAUGAGUCCACAGCCUGGCCAACAACUUGAUUGCAACCUUGUGAGCAGAGGACCAACCCAUUUAGGCUGUGCCUGGACUCCUGACCGAAAGAAACUGAGACAUGAUAAAUGUGUGUUGUUUUAA